GCAGCCUGCAACUCGGCUGCAUGAAGCCGGAAUCGCUAGUAAUCGCGGAUCAGAAUGCCGCGGUGAAUACGUUCCCGGGUCUUGUACACACCGCCCGUCACACCAUGGGAGUCGGAAAUGCCCGAAGUCGGUGACCUAACGAAAGAAGGAGCCGCCGAAGGCAGGUCCGGUAACUGGGGUGAAGUCGUAACAAGGUACC
rnacentral:rRNA from 1 species